rnacentral:lncRNA from 1 species
UAACUUGGUGCUCAUUCUCUUCUUUCUCCAGGAUUUAUUUCUCAUUCCUUCUCCCUCAUGGAGUUGAAGUUCAUUUAUCACCAUGUGCUCCCUGAUCUGUCAGGAAAGGUCUUGGUUGACGUUGGUUCCAGACUUGGCACAGUCCUUUAUGGGGUAAAGUGCAGCUUGUGGACAUACUCAACAUGUGGAAAAUACUUUCUCCUGCUAGCGACAGCUUUGCCUGCCACCGUCCAAGGUGACAGCUUGGCUUUAUUAUUAAAGUAACAGGAUAAGGUUAAAAUACGGUCCAUUGGCAGGCUCCUAAGUACUACUUGAUGGCAAUAAUUGGGUUUGGAAUUUCAAAGACAGAACCAGCUGCCCAGUUUCUUCUUCUCCUGGUUUGUCUCCACAACACAGAUGACAAAUAUAAACAGAAUAGACCAUGUAGCUGACACUCCUCUCCUCCCCCAACUCACUACCCCCUCUGUUUUUUGUUUUGUUUUGUUUUGCAGUGGGGAAGGGGGUGUUUCUAAUAUGACCUCAAACUAGCUAUGUAGAUGAGGAUAGUCUUAAACCCUUACCCUCCUGCCUCAGCCCACUAAGCACUGUGAUUGAGGAUAAGAACUCACAAAAAGAGCGCUUGCCUAGGAAGCGCAAGCAUGGGUUCGGUCCCCAGCUCCAAAAAAAA